CUUGUACACAUAGUAGCAUCUCCUAUCCUCUCGAAAAGUGCUUGGGUAUGCUUAAUAGAGGAUGUAGAGAAAAUCAUUUCUCAUAGAAGAUGGGAGCAUAGAGAUGAUCCCAUAGCCUACAACAAGAUGAUGUGAGACAUUGACUCUAAGAAAGAGAUGUGAAAUAGCUUUCCUGAGAAGAGAUCUUCUGAAGAUUUCUAUAUGAAAUAGCCUAUGUAUUUUACUUC
rnacentral:lncRNA from 1 species